UCUGAGUCUUGCUUUUUCAGUCAAUAUUAUGUUUGCCAGAUAUAUUUGUAUUGGUAGCUGUAGCUGCAGUUUUUUCAUUGUCACCCUUGUCUGGUGUGAAUAUACUGUAACUUACUUGUAUUCUCCUGUCCAAGGCCAUUUGGGUGGUUUCCAGUUUUUUACUGUAUGAGCAGUGCUACGCUGAACGUUCUUGUUCACAUCUCCUUGUUACACAUGCAAGAAUUUCUUUAAGGUUUGUCUGCCUAGGGGUGGAAUUAAUGGUCAUGGGGAUUGUAUCUUUGCCUUUACUAAAUAAUGCCAAACUGUUUUUGAAAGUGGUUAUACACUUGCACCAACAGUAUAUUAGAAUUCUCUUGUUCCACAUCCUCAUGAGCACGUAGCCCUGUUAUCAGGUUGAUAAAUUGUGGCCAAUCUUUUGGGUAUGAAAAGAUAUUUUGUGAUUUUAAUUUUCAUUUUCCCUGAAAACAGUAAGGUUAGUGUGUUUUCAUAUAGUUUCUGGCCAUUUGUAUUUCCUCUUCUGUGAAGUGCUUAUUCCUGUCUUUUGCCUAUUUUUAAAUUGAGUAGUUUGUCUUUUUCUUACUGAUUUUUAGGGAACUGUAGACCCAUUAAAUAACAGCUCUCUAUUUCCCCCUUCCCUCAGUCCCUGGUAACCACGAUUCUGCUUUCUGUGCUGUGUAUUUGACUGUCCUAGGCACCUGCUAUAUAAGUGGAGCUCUCCUACCAGGGUCUGAACCUGCCCCACCUCGGUCGAGCUGGCCAGGUCAACUUUGUAGUGUGCCAACUCUUUGCCUUGCUAGCAGCCAUUUGGUUUCGAACUUACCUGCAUUCAAGCAAAACUAGCUCUUUUAUGAGACAUGUCGUUGCUACCCUUUUGGGCCUUUACCUUGCACUUUUUUGCUUUGGAUGGUAUGCCUUACAUUUUCUUGUACAAAGUGGAAUUUCCUACUGUAUCAUGAUCAUAAUAGGAGUGGAGAACAUGCACACGUACUGUUUUCUGUUUGCUUUGGGAUACCUCACAGUGUGCCAAAUUACGAGAGUCUACAUCUUUGAUUAUGGACAAUAUUCUGCUGAUUUCUCAGGCCCAAUGAUGAUAAUUACCCAGAAGAUCACUAGUCUGGCUUAUGAAAUCCAUGAUGGGAUGUUUCGAAAGGAUGAGGAACUGACUCCAUCACAGAGAGGUUUAGCUGUAAGGCGCAUGCCAAGCCUACUGGAGUACUUGAGUUACAACUGUAACUUCAUGGGUAUCCUGGCAGGCCCACUCUGCUCUUACAAGGACUACAUUACUUUCAUUGAAGGCAGAUCCUACCACAUGGCACAAUCGGGCGAAAACGGAAGAGAAGAAAUACAAUAUGGAAGAACAGAGCCGUCUCCAAAUAUCGCAGUUAUUCAGAAGCUCUUAGUCUGUGGACUUUCCUUAUUAUUUCACUUGACCAUCUCUAAAACAUUGCCUGUGGAGUAUAACAUCGAUGAACAUUUUCAGGCUACGGCUUCAUGGCCGACAAAGGUUGUCUAUCUAUAUGUCUCUCUUUUGGCUGCCAGACCCAAAUACUAUUUUGCAUGGACAUUGGCUGAUGCUAUUAAUAAUGCUGCAGGCUUUGGUUUCAGAGGAUAUGAUGAAAAUGGAGCAGCUCGUUGGGACUUAAUUUCCAAUUUGAGAAUUCAGCAAAUAGAGAUGUCAACAAGUUUCAAGAUGUUUCUUGAUAAUUGGAAUAUUCAGACAGCUCUUUGGCUCAAAAGGGUGUGUUAUGAACGAGCCUCCUUGAGUCCAACUAUCCAGACAUUUAUUCUCUCUGCCAUUUGGCAUGGGGUGUACCCAGGAUAUUACCUGACAUUCCUAACAGGAGUGUUGAUGACAUUAGCAGCGAGAGCUAUGAGAAGUAACUUCAGACAUUAUUUCGUUGAACCUCCCCAAGUUAAAUUAUUGUAUGAUGUUGUAACAUGGAUAGUAACUCAAAUAGCAAUAAGUUACACAGUUGUGCCCUUUGUACUUCUUUCUAUAAAACCAUCAUUCAUGUUUUACAGCUCCUGGUAUUACUGCCUUCACAUUGUUGGUAUCUUAGUGUUGUUGUUGUUGCCGUCGAAAAAAACUCAAAGAGGAAAGAACAGACAUGAAGAUAUUUGGCUGUCACAAUCCAAAAAGUUUGAUGAAGGAGAAAAUUCUUUGGAACAGAAUAGCUUUUAUACAACAAACAAUGUUUGCAAUCAGAAUCAAGAAAUGGCCUCCAGACAUUCAUCUUGAAAGCAACGAUGUGGAAAAUACUCUGACAGCUGUUUUUUGUAUGUUAACAGAAACCAAUCUUAGCACCUUUUCAAGGGGUUUGUGUUUAUUUGAAAAGAGAUUAAUUUGGGGGAAUUGGACAGUUAUAAAUAGGGAAUCUCCUGUGUACCAGAUUGGAAAUGGAGUAAAGAGCCCCUCCCAUGCCAUGUCCCUAUGGGCCACGCCUUAUAUAAAAUAUUUUCAUUAUUUCCAUGGGCACUCAGGACCUCAGCAUAUGUCCACAGGAUCACGUGUGCCCUGUUGCUGAAUGUAUGUUGCGAAUCCCAAGGCACUGAAGAGGUGGAAAAAUAAUUGUGUCAAUCUGGGUGAUUGAGAGAAAUUAACUUUUCCAAAUGAAUGUCUUGCCUUAAACCCUCUAUUUCCUAAAAUAUUGUUCCUAAAUGGUAUUUUCAAGUGUAAUAUUGUGAGGGCACUAUUUCAGUAUUUGAUAUUGUGUGCUAUAAAGGAAUUCUGGAGGAAUUUGAAACAGGAUAUUUAAGAUUGUGGAUAGUUUAAAAAUGCAAUAAACAUCUCAGUAUUUGAAGGGUUUUUUAAAGUAUCUCAGAUGACUACAGUACAUAGUGAAAGUGUAAACAGGAAUGGAUGCCAAAUUAUAGAUAGCUGAUUUUCCUGGAGAGGUUAAUUACCUUGUGUCAGUCAGAGAGCCCUUCAAGGAAGAAUUUCUUAAACAUAAUUAAAGGUUGGCGAUUUGAUACUUUAAGCUUAUUUUCUUAUAAAGAGAGCGAAAAAGAUGACGACAAAGAAAGGAAGGAAGGAAGGCAUGAAUGAAGAGAGCACUGUGUGACCUGGGGCCAGAGCCAGUGGCAGCCGUCACAGGGCACAGGUGCACAGUGCAGGGACCAGGUGCUCAGCAGGAAUGCUUUCCACCCUUAUUUAUCUGAGCUCUUUGUGAUUAUGUAAGACAUAAAAGUUUAAUAACUUUUUAAUAUGUUGGAUGUUUAAAUGAAAUUUAUCAAGCAUAAAUUAUAUGGAAUUAUAAAAGGAUUAUGAAAAUAAUAGUGGUAGAUUGCUUGAAGGUUUUGAAAGAGAAAUCACUGAGCAGGGUUACUGUCUAGCUAAUCACUUUCUUAUCCGUGACAGUUUAAUUCAAAUUUGAGUAAGUUUUAGGGAAAUGAGAACUUAAAGUCAUUGGGUUUGAACCACAUUUUUAGAGAAUAUAAAUUAGUUUCCAAGCUCUUCUCCCAUUAAAAUUCUGCUCUUAACUCUUGUUAAUGAAUUUUAGAUUCUGUAAGUAGAAAAAUGUGCUUUUGUCUUAUGGACCAUUUUUCAUCAUAAUCUCGCCUUGUAUUAGCAAGUAUCUCCUUUAAUCCCGCAGAGUCGUGUAAUGGCUGCAAUAGCCAAAAGCAGAAGUGUGGGGUGUGGGAUGUGAGGCUAGCCUGGCCACAGGUCAUAAAUCACGGACCGUGAGAGUGACGGACGGGCAGGGCCUUCUGGCUUCACCUUUGUUUGAUCAGUCUUUUAUGGAAUUCAUUUUUUUUGCCUUAAAUUUUUUAAUGAAAUGCAAAUUGUCUGUGGUGAGUCUCUUUUCUUAAAAUUUUUGUCAUUAAUAAAUUUGCAAAUGAAGUUAAGGACAGAACAACUAUCUGGCUUAAGCUAUGUGAUAUUUCAUUUCAAGAUGAGAAAAGCACAUGGACUUGGAACUUUUGAGAUCUUCAUCAGCAAAAAUGUCAACGUAUCUUUUUAGAACUUUGGAAAUAUCCUAGUCUUUGUUUAUAUGAAAUGUUUUUUUCUGAAGGUAAAUUUUUUCCACCUGAUGAGUUAGUCUUGCCCUGUUCUCUCCCAGGAAAAGAUAGAGAGCUAAAUAAAUUUUCUCUAUUUUCUCCUAUGCCGAAAUUAGGCUAGUUCUGUAAUGUGAGAGGAUAGAAAAGAGUAAUCAUGGAAAGUAUCAGGCCCCCAAAAUGUCUCCUCAGUUUAAUUAAUGCUGCAGAGAAUCUGAUCACUAUUAAGGAAAAGUAAACAAAUUUAGAAUUUAAAAGACAAGUCUAGGCAUGUCGUAAGGGAAAACAAGAAAGCUUAAUAAAAACUUUCUUUUUGUUCAGCCUAUCUAACCAUUUACAAAUAAUCACCAUUUAUUUCUAUUACCUGACUGUAUUUUAUUUCUCAGCCUGUAACUCUAAAAUCACUGUUGUCUAUUUCUUGCUCAGUGAACAUAAUCAUAGCACUACCAUCCAGAAAGCAACAUGAUUGAUGAAUUCUCCGUUACUUUGAAGAUAAUACAUUAUAUAUACAGUUUGACUGAUUUUCAUCCCCCUGGAUAACUUGUUUUUUGUAUGAAGUGGUUUUUGGAUAGCUUUUCUCUAAUUUUGGAGAAAUUAUAAUCACAGGUAUGCAAUCUAGAAGAAAAACUAAAGAAAUAAUUCUAAUUUUCAGCUUGACUUUUCUCCUCAAGAAAAAACUUUUUGUGCUCUAUAAAGUGAAUAUAUCUACCUGGAGUGUUUAAGGAUUAAUACUAAUACUUACAGUAGAAGAGUUGAAAAGUGGUUUAUCUCUACUACUGGUAAGUGUAAGGGAGUGCUUCCUUCUUAAUCAACAGAAUAGGAUUCAGUGCAUAUGUGUAUUAUUUCUCCACUCUCCAGUUGUCCUGAAACCACUCCAGAGAUGAUCAGUCAACAUCAUAUUUAUACUUUUGGUUAAUUAUUAUACUACUCAGGGAAACAAUGAACGAAAAUAAUUAUUCUUCCCUCAACUUCAUUUUCUUGAAACGGUAACAGUUUAAUUUGAUGUGUCUCAGCUGUCACCAUUUCACAGGUGGCUUAGUCUCGGGUUUUAAAAUAAGCAUUUUUAUUGGAACUCAGGAUAACCGGGGAAAUUUAUUUAGCUUCUAAAAUGUCUAGAAUAAUAGAGAAGGUUUAUUUGGCUUCAAAAAUGUCCUUCCACCAUUUACGUGGCCACCAUACUUUGGGGUAAAAAGUAUUUUUGUUACUGAUCCCUGCCAUGUGUGACAUGCGCAUACAGAAUUUCCAGAUACCAGUUUUGAGAAAAACUUGCAGUGAAGAGAAUGGUUCUAAAAAGUGACGUUAACUUAGGUUGAAGCACUGAUUGUCCUGGGACGAGACCUGGGUCUUCAUCUGGCUCAGUCAUCAAUGAGCUUAUGUCCUCUAGAGGAAAGUUCCUUAAGAAGCCCAAAGGGUCGGUUCUGAACGUUUGUGCCCAGCUGUGUUUGUAAUGAGUGGAAGCCUCAGCAAGAUCCGUAAGAGUCACAGACAAGGGCGGGUUCACAACCGGGACUGUUGUCAUGGCCAUUUACUUUUAUUACUUGAGCUCGAAGUCCUGACGUUUCAGAAGAUGUUCAUAGCAACAGAAGAAGGAAAACUUUUCAAUCCAUAAACCAGAAGGCGUGGCAGCACACCAUUUCUACUGAAGAUAGCCCCUAACAUGAGUCUUUCCUAAUGAAAUUGUCUCUGCUGAAGAAAAUAUAUUUUCCUUUUACCUUCUUUGCUUUUUCGGUUUCUGUUUGUACUAUGUAAAACUGAAGAAGAUAUAUGCUAAAAAAUACUUUAUGCAAAUUACCAACUUCACUGGGCAGGGUUUACCACCAUGUAAGUUCUCAAAUAUUAUUUUAUUCAAAGAUAUUUAAAGCAUAUUUAACUUAAUUAUACCUAUUUUAAACUAUAGAAAAAAUUACUUAAAAUUUUUGCCAUUAAAAUAAUUACAAAAUUUAGACUUUUAUUCAAGGACUAGAUUACUUAGGACAAAAAUCUUUCCUAUUUAAAAUUCAUACCUUGUAAAUUUUAAUUUUUAUAUUCAUGAAUAACUCUGGACAUUUAUACUUUUUUGUUUCCUCCUUAUUAUAAAUCGUUCAGAAUUACUAGUUAUUGGUUUUAAGAGUUCUACAUUGUAAUUGAAAGAAAAAAUUACUUGAGAGAAUAAUUGUUUCAGAAUGAUGCCUGUUGCUGUGUCAGUGAAAGAUUUGUCCAGAGUUUUAGAUACAAACCAGUAUUUUGUGGAGUUUUCUUCAGCCACUAAUAGUCCAUCCUGGCUGAAAUUGAAUAUAUCAGAUUUAACAUAGGUGCAGAAUUCUGACUAACACUGUGAAAUGUGAUCUCCACUGCCCUGCAGGACUUUCUGAAACUGUUACACUGCCCAGUGUGCAUUUAAUGAAUGGCUGAUCGUUUCCAUACUUAUCUGAGAUGCUGAAAGUUCUGCUUUCCACAGCUCUUCCUUGCAAAAGUGGGUUUGUAUCAGUGCACCUGAGGGGAAAGAUUUGCAUUUAAAAAAAGAAAUUCCACUCUGAAAUUUGGAUUUGAAAGAUUGGAAUGUAGAGAGGGUGUCUACAGUGUUUUUCUGCAGCACCAGGUAGUCAGAUCUAUUCAUAGUAACUCUCAUCGCAGAGUAAAAUUUAAAAUGAAAUUUUCCACGUUGGUAUUUUGUAGGAAUGCUCUUAUAAUCCAGGACUAAGCUGCUUUUUGAGGCUCUUGUUGUACAGAGGAUGUAGCCAAUUACAUUUUAAUUGGUGGGCUGUUUAAUAAUGUUUUUAUAUGUUUUAAAAUAUUUAUUUUAAUAGGUUUUUAACAUUAUGCAAACCCCUGUAAAGAACUGACAAGCUCUAUAGGUCAUUGAUCUGAAACGGAGUCUAAAGACACAUUUUUGUGCUGACUAAUUUGUCUUGCCUUUAAAACUGCUUAUAACUACAGUCAUGCGCCACAUAACGACGUUUCAUCAAGGGCAGACCACAUGUACGACCGUGGUUCCAUAAGAUUAGUGCCAUACAGCCUAGGUUUGUAGGAGGCUAUCCCUAGGUUUGUGUAAGUGCACUCGAUGGUGUUCCCACAAUGACAAAAUCGCCUAAUAAUGUACCUCUCGGAACGUAUCUCCAUCGUUAAGCAACUGUUUGCUGUUUCUUCUAGUGUGCCGUUUAUAAAGCAAAAAAACAAAACAAACCCCCAAGACUAUAUGUUCUAUAAAUAAUAGGAUAAAGAUCCACGUAAACCAGUCUAAAGCUUUCUCAGUGAUGCAUAGCCGUCUGUCCAGUCAUGUUUUUAUCAAAUUUUGCUACUAUAAAAAGAAAUGGAAAUAGAAUGAAAAACCCAAAGUUACAGAGCAACAUCAGUAGAAUGACUGACUAGCUGUUUUCUUAAUAACGUGUUUGAAAUGGAAAAAGUGACCAACUGCCUUUUACUGGAGUCGUGAAUGACUGUAUCCUGCCCAGUCUCUAUUUUGGGAAAACUUCUUUGAGAAAUUGGUUUGUUAAUAUUCCUUUUAAUCCUUUCCUGCUAAAGGACAAACACGUGUAAAGAGUUUGACAGACUUUUAAAAUAUGCCUCUUUCCCAAUUUUAAGUAUUUUUGGUUCUGUGUAUAUGAAUUCGUCAGUGAAGUUCAUUUGCUCCUGAGUUUCUAUCACAAGGAGAGAAGAAACAAACAUCCAACACAAAUGUGUUCCAAACAGUCGUCUCCAUCUUCCGGCACCCGUAUGCAACUGCCUCGCCGAACAAGAAGAUGCACUACAUAGAGCAAUAAGAGUGAAAGUAAGACUAAUUCAGAUGAAGCAAGAAAAACCCUUCUGCAUACCGAGUGGAAGUGUGUGAUUUCAUUCCUGCCUUCCUUUCGAAGUUCUCUCUCGAUCUCUGCCUAGGAGUGGUUGAGCAUCGUUACCCAAACGUGAGGAGGGUCCAGCGCCAGCAGCCAGUAUUGACAGUCCUCAUUUGCCAGCGCCGGCAGCCAGUAUUGACAGUCCUCAUUUGCCUUCCCUGGGUGAGAAUAGAAUGUGGUGGUCUGUGCUUUUUGUUUUUAUUAUUCCAAAAUAUUUUUUUAAAGAAGUGUUAUUUUUCAACAGAUCCAUAAAUUAGUUCUUGUUGUAUGGUGAAUUUAAACUACCACUGUGUCAGUUACACUGUGAUGUGAUAAUUUCAUAACCACUCAUUUCUAGUGUCUGUCCUCAGAGCUGCACUAGUGGCUUAUUGCUGGGUUUUAAAGAUGUUUUUAACUUACAUAUAAAUGUUUUUUUUUCUAAUUUGUGUGUCUUUAAGACUGAUUAAACAGUAGUUUAAAAAUA